UCGCUUCCUCUCUAACCGUCCGCCGAUGCUCACCACCAUGCAUCCCGCCGCUGGCGUGUGUGCAGCGGAAACGUUCCAUGCGGACCACCUCCAGCAAUGAAUGGGCGAUUCCCCCAUCGAAGCAGAGGAGUAGGCCUCGUGCCUUUCCGUCGGCGUCCUCACUGGUUAGUCCUUUUUGGGGCGGUUUAGAGGCGACCGGCGAGAUGGCAUCGCAGUUGGAGCAAUAGUGGGUCCAUCUCUAGAGGACACCACCCCUCUGCUAGGUGACCAGGACCUCGUAUAGUUGGAUCCAGGGGCGCCAUGCGUGCUGCUCCAUUCAACAGGAGCCACGCCCAUUAGCUGUUUCACAGAUGACUUCAAUCGCAAUCGCGAGGUCACGAUUCAUACAGGUACCAUGUCGCAAAUGGAUGACAAUGAGUCUGCUGAUUUAUAUCUUCAAGCACUACUCAGCUAUAUAGAUUCAUGACCAAUGAGAGUUGCUGGCACCGGCGUUUGCACGGCGACUGACACCGUCCUGAGCUGCACCAACCUGAGCGCCCUUUCCAUCUGCGGGCGAUCAACAUCGGUCCGUGGGCUGGGUUUAAUCUGGAACAGAUCAGUCAUCAAACAUCGAUCUACAUGUACGUGGUUAUGAUGUGGUCUUUAGUUAUCCU